rnacentral:misc_RNA from 1 species
GUAUUGUUUGCGUGCAUCAGCAUCCGCUCAGUCAGCCUCACAUCCUCCAAAAUACGUUGGGACAAACAGUCUGCCAUGGUACGCAGUACCGGCGUUCAAUAAUGAUCCCUCCGCAGGUUCACCUACGGAGA